UAUUAAGAUAAUUAGAUACUUGUGUCCUAAAUGUUUAUUUAUUCAAAACAUUAUUAUAUUUAGUAAAGGAGAUUAAAAGUUGUUAUGUAUUCUUAAAUUUAAGUACUGUAAGGGAACAACCUUAAUAGAAAAAAAGAAAAAAUUAGACUUU
rnacentral:rRNA from 1 species